CUAACACAUGCAAGUCGAACGGCAGCACAGUAAGAGCUUGCUCUCAUGGGUGGCGAGUGGCGGACGGGUGAGGAAUACAUCGGAGUCUACUCUUUCGUGGGGGAUAACGUAGGGAAACUUACGCUAAUACCGCAUACGACCUAACGGUGAAAGGAGGGGACCUUCGGGCCUUGCGCGAUUGAAUGAGCCGAUUUCGGAUUAGCUAGUUGGCGGGGUAAAGGCCCACCAAGGCGACGAUCCGUAGCUGGUCUGACAGGAUGAUCAUCCACACUGAAACUGAGACACGGACCAGACUCCUACGGGAGGCAGCAGUGGGGAAUAUUGGACCAUGGGCGCAAGCCUGAUCCAGCCAUACCGCGUGGGUGAAGAAGGCCUUCGGGUUGUAAAGCCCUUUUGUUGGGAAAGAAAUCCUUCUGGCCAAUACCCGGUUGGGAUGACGGUACCCAAAGAAUAAGCACCGGCUAAGUUCGUGCCAGCAGCCGCGGUAAUACGAAGGGUGCGAGCGUUACUCGGAGUUACUGGGCGUAAAGCGUGCGUAGAUGGUCGUUAAAUUCCGUUGUGAAAGCCCUGGGCUCAACCUGGGAACUGCAGUGGAUACUGGACAACUAGAGUGUGGUAGAGGGGACCGGAAUUCCUGGUGUACCAGUGAAAUGCGUAGAGAUCAGGAGGAACAUCCAUGGCGAAGGCAGCUACCUGGACCAACACUGACACUGAGGCACGAAAGCGUGGGGAGCAAACAGGAUUAGAUACCCUGGUAGUCCACGCCCUAAACGAUGCGAACUGGAUGUUGGGUGCAAUUUGGCACGCAGUAUCGAAGCUAACGCGUUAAGUUCGCCGCCUGGGGAGUACGGUCGCAAGACUGAAACUCAAAGGAAUUGACGGGGGCCCGCACAAGCGGUGGAGUAUGUGGUUUAAUUCGAUGCAACGCGAAGAACCUUACCUGGCCUUGACAUGUCGAGAACUUUCCAAAGAUGGAUUGGUUCCUUUGGGAACUCGAACACCGGUGGUGCAUGGCUGUUGUUAGCUUGUGUCGUGAGAUGUUGGGUUAAGUCCCGCAACGAGCGCAACCCUUGUCCUUAGUUGCCAGCACGUAAUGGUGGGAACUUUAAGGAGACCGCCGGUGACAAACCGGAGGAAGGUGGGGAUGACGUCAAGUCAUCAUGGCCCUUACGGCCAGGGCUACACACGUACUACAAUGGUAGGGACAGAGGGCUGCAAGCCGGCGACGGUAAGCCAAUCCCAGAAACCCUAUUUCAGUCCGGAUUGGAGUUUGCAACUCGACUCCAUGAAGUCGGAAUCGCUUGUAAUCGCAGAUCAGCAUUGCUGCGGUGAAUACGUUCCCGGGCCUUGUACACACCGCCCGUCACACCAUGGGAGUUUGUUGCACCAGAAGCAGGUAGCUUAACCUUCGGGAGGGCGCU
rnacentral:rRNA from 1 species